AGAAUUCAAUCUAUCCUUUCAUCUCUUGCUUGCAGCAGUAUACCUGCGGCUUAGACUGAUUUCCGGCUAGCUCACCUAUUGCUUUUGUCUGCCUGGAAAGAAAUGGUUCUAGAUCAGUGUCUAGAUGCUGUGAUGGCCUGGAUGAAAGUCAUUACAAUGAAAGUGAAUUCCAGUAAGACAGAAACUCUUCCUCUCCUCCAUGCACCAUCUCUGAAGUGGAAAUCCUGCUCAUGUUACAUCCAAAACGGGGAAUUGGUUUAAGUGGUGACUGUUACAUCAACGGAUGACUUGCAGUUGUUAAUAGACCAUCACUGAUAUGACGCCAGAGAAAUAUUUUCCUGUCAACAUCAAGGUUAAUAUUUUUCAAAAAUAUCAGCUUCCAGAUUCAACUGGCCAUCAUCAUGUGUACAGUGAUCAAGUACAGGGAAAUGAAAUGAUGUGCACUCACGUGUGAAUGAUAACAAAAAGAAAAAGUGAUUCACCAGGAAUUCUUCUAUAUCUACUAACUGUACUUUCCCUCUCUUGCACUGUGCUAUCUUCAAACGCUACUGUGUAAAACCAUCCUGCACUAGCUACCUUAUUUGACCCUUCGUGUGACUUGAUUUCAGUGGUGGAUGAAAUGAUCCUCCAUAAAUAUACAUUAGAGGGAUGUUGUGACUGGCUUAAUUAGGCAAUUCUUUUAAGAAGCUUGUGAUACACUUGCAUUGAAAUCCUUACAUAACCACAUACCAAUUAUUAUUAAGAGCACUAUGUUGAU